rnacentral:tRNA from 1 species
GGAUUGUGGCUCAGUGGUAGAGCGGGUGCCUAGCACAUGUGAGGCCCUGAGUUCGAUCCUCAACACCA